rnacentral:lncRNA from 1 species
ACUUGAUGUUCAAGACCGCUGUACUCUCCUUCAGUGUUCUCUCUAAUAGUGAUGAGAUUCACAUCAUCAUAGCGAGUCUUAUAUCCAGGAAGGCUGUAGCAAGGUCUGACAUUGGCAUAUAGAUUUAACUCCUUCCUCAAUGUAAGGUUCAAGGAACGAUGACCUUUUCCAAUAGGAGUGGCCAUUGGCCCUUUCAAACCAACCUUAUUCCGCCUCACUGAUUCAAGACUUUCCCAUGUUAGAAAGCUGUUGGUUCUAGGGUCUAUAUCCGUCCCCACAUAGUGUUCUUCCCAUUCAAUUGGUACCUCAGCAACCUUGAAUAUCUGUAGUUUUAAAUAGGAUUUAGCAAUUUAUGACCCCAGAAUUAAUGAAGUACCAGAAACCCUAGCUCCAACGAAGUCAGAGGCGGAUAUAGAGUAACGAUACUGAGUUCAUCUGAACUCGCGCUUACGACUUUGAGCAUAUACCUAUGUUUAUGACUUCACAAAAAAUAGCAAAUAGUAGAUACGAACCUAUGAUUUUAAAAUACAGUUGAGUCAAUGUUAAAAAACUUAAAAGUUGAACCCUUAAAACUUAAAUGUUGGAUUCGUCACUGAGGGAAGCAAAUCAACUUUCAUUAUUGUGGACAAUCUAGAAGAAAAAUGUCUAGAAAAAUAGUAGAAUCUAACCAACCAUAAUGCCCGUGAACCUCUAAGCAGGAUUAGCAGAAGAACUCUUUGUCCCACAUCGUUGCACAAUUAAUAAGGACAAGAUAUUUACUUGUCCAUUUCAUUCCUAAAUGAUUCGACUUGCUGAUAAGAGCAUCCGAAAUAUAAUCAACAAGGAAAAUAGCCUAUUAAUUCAUCCAAUAAAGAAAAAAGAAAAGCUAUAUAGCCAUGGUACCAAAAAUGCAUUUAAUCUUCCUGCAGCUAUGAGUGACUAUGACUUAGUACGAGUGUCAAACUAAUCACAACAACAGCAUACCCAAUGUAGUCCCACAGAUAGAGUCUGCAAAGGUUAGUAUAUACCCAGCCUUGCCCUUACCUUCCACAAAAGAGGCUUUAUCCCUAGGACCAAAGCACAACAACAACAUACCUCUGUAUUCCCACAAGUUGAGUCUUACAAAGAAAAAAAACUUGCAACAGACGCACAAGUGGAAAUUUCAACCCCUAUGAGGAAAGAUUACUGCAUUAUCUCAGCCUUACUCGCAUCAUAAAUAAAAAAGACAAAUGAUGAUACUACAAAGUCUAGCUUAUUUCAACAUUCGGCAUUAAUUAUGAAAAGGUAGAAUUUCACGAGUGCUACAGCCUACAAGGAGCAAAACCGGAGGUUCAACCUAGCAAGUACUAUCUAAUAUUCAUAUGUGCAAAUUUAUUACAACUUCCAUACAGAUAAUUGAUGAACAGUAACAAUAUGAAGCAAACAACGGUACAAACUUCUAAUAACCAGCAUCUAACUCUAUAUAUCUAUAUAUAUAUAUAUAUAUGGAAACAACAAGAUAAAGGAGAACAAGUAUUCGCGAAGAAGCAGACCUGCCUGACGGACUCGGCGAUUUCAGGUCCAAUACCAUCGCCGGGGAAAAGAGUAGCGCGGAUCAAGUCGGAAUUGGAUUGGGAAGUGAAGGUCCGAUCGAAAAACCUAACAGAGGGCGCAACUGCAUGAGGUCGGCAUCGAAGGAGUCUUUUUGCAAUCUGAAGAGCCAUAGUAGAUCUUAGAGUUGCAGAAUUUUGUUAAAAUGUUAAAGGGAGACGAAGGUGGUAAAUGAAAGAGAAUAGACGCUUGCGACCUACCAUCGGAGGAUCCAAACCCAAACUUAAGGACCCGUUUGACCCAAAGGAGUACUUCGGAAAAACUUGGGUAGCGUUUGGUUAUAAUAUUUGUCAAAUAUUAAGUUUCUAAAUCAAAAGAAAUUAUACUACAAAAUAUAAAAUAAUUACAUAAUAUUAAGAGAUAACUAUUUAUGAUAUUUUUCGAUUAUUUUGGGUGAAAAGGUAUUUUUUGAAUUUGUUAGUAACAUCCAUUGAUUUUGAAACAAUGACAAUUUCUAGCACCAAAAGUGUUGUUACAAAUUUGGUCAAAAACUUUGAAUAUUUCUUUUUCAAAUAAAAUAAUUAGUCAAUACCUGCCCCCUUGUAAAACACAGCUAUAAAUAAACAACUUUAUUAUCUCUACAUUUCUCAUAAUCCAAAUUAACACUUCUUUACAUUUUUAGCUAAAAAAGAAAAGAAAUGGCUUAUCCUUUCAAUAAUUGUUCCACUUUUAUGAUAUGUAUAAUUUUACUUUGGUACUGAAAAUUAUUAUUAUAAAGCUACAUUUUAUUAGACCACUGAUGGCAAGGAACACUUAGUAAGUCAUAUUUCAUUUUCAACUUUUUUUUCCUUUUAUUAAUAGAGUGAUUAAAAUUAACAUUUGAUUAAUUUGCAUCAUAUUUUUAUCAGAUGGAGCUUGUGGUUAUGGAAAGCAUGGAAGAAAUGUCAAUUGAUGGACUCGUCGCACGUCAUGGAAGCUCUAUAAGAAUGGAGCUGGGUGUGAUGCAUGUUAUCAUGAGAAAUGGAUUCAGAAUUUUAAAUUUCAUAAAUUUGAGUUGAGGAUCGAUAUUAUAAUAGUAAUACUCCAUUUAUUUUAUCAAAAUAUAUAUUAUUUUAUUCUUUUUAAAUAUAAAAUGCUCAUACAUAUAAAUGAAUGUAUAACAUAUAGACAUAUGACUAGUUUAGUAAAGAGCAAAUGGAUUAAUUCAGAUAAAACUAUGAUCCCAGAUUAUUGGAAACCUGGCUCAAAUUAUGAAACUGAUAUUCAUAUUCCUUGAAUAAAUAUAAAAAAUGUGUGACAUAAAAUUGUUAACAUAUAUAUAUAUGGUUUGGAGUCAAAUAAAGUUCAUAUUUGUCUAGGGUGAUCAGCAGUAAUUGUGGUUUUAUUAACCAAAUGUUUGUGUUAAUAAGGCUGAUCAAAUUAAAUUCGUGUAAAAAUAAAUAAACUAUUAAUGAAAUCGUGUUAUAUGCAGGUUGUCUUCGUGAAAUUUCAUUAAAUUGUAAUACUUUGAUACUUACAUAUAAAUCAUAGAAUCUCAUGGACCAUAUGGUAUUUAAGAAAAUAUUAUAAACUCGUAUACCUGAGCAUCUUGUUUUGUCCCUAAUGUGAAUGUCCGUGUCUAUUUAUCUAACCAUAUUAAUUGCCAUUUUGCAUUCAGCAUCAAUAUGUAUAGCUAUAUUUGUAAAUUUAAUAUAUGACACCGUACAUUUAAUCAUAAAUGUUAGUGUGAUUCUUUUAUGCAGGAAUAUGUUUUAUACCUUGGACUAUGUUUAAAACUAUAUUAUCAUUAAGAUGUAACGAUGCAAGUAUAUCUUUAAUCAAUAUAUGGAGUGUAUUAUAAAUAGAACAUCUUUGUUCCCUGAUGGAAAAGAUAGGAAGAGAGCCCCAACGCUUUUCUUAAAAAAAAGGUAGACUACACAAUCAGCCAAACAAUUUCUCCCAGUUCAAUUCAAUAGGAAGCAUGAACAGAUAUUUUGUCCGUCACAAAAUCACAACGGUGAUUAAGAAAAUCAAAGAUGACAGCCACCAACAAAGGCUGCGUGAAUAUUUAGCCUCUUGUGAUACCGGCUUCUGUAAAUAUGUAAAUACAUGAAUAGACGGUACGGUGCAAGGGGCCACGAUCUUCAACAACUACUUCGUGCUGAUUUUUCAAUUGCCGCCUUACCGUUAUUUUUAACUAUUGUAUAAUUUAAAAAAUUGACAUCAAAAUGACUAUGUAUUAUACACAUGUUCAAAGAUGAUCGCAGAUGGCAUUGGUGAACUCAGUUGUUGUGGCAGUGCCUCCAAGGUCACCUGUUCGGUAUUUCCCUUCUGCAAUUGUUUUUAGGAUGGCAUCUUGGAUGCGAUCAGCUUUAUCAUGAAGCUCUAGAUGACGAAGCAUGGACACAGAACUCAAAAGCAAAGCAGUUGGAUUCGCCAAAUUCUGCAUACAUAAUUUUCUUUUUGGAUUAACAAAUACGAAAAAACAGGGGGUGGGCAUGCCUAAUGAACGGCAGAGGAAGAAGAAAGUGAACCACAUUUUGAAAAACGAAUCUCACUAAACAACUGCCGUCUAAAACCUACCACAUAAAUAUUCACACAGAGUACCUCUGGAUGUGUGUCAAGCAUACACUGUUUACAUCCUUAUUUCAUACUUCAAUUAUGUGUGGUCUUCAUCAUAGACAAAAAAAAAUUCAGAUAACGCAUCUUCUACUUAAGACCAGAAUAUAUUUCUCAGUUGCUUCUCAUUCAACAUUCAGUUCUAUUAAGGGGGGAAACAGGGACCUAGGACACAGAAAAGGAAAAAGAUCUUUUUUAAAAUAGGGGCAGCUUAGUACAAGAAGCAUCCCAAAUUAAUGCAGGGUCUGGAGAACAGUCGCACCCAAGAAGGUGUAACACAGGCAGCCUACACCAACAAGAGCAUCAGUGGCUGAUUCCACCGCAUGACCUAUAGGCCAUACAGAGGCAACUUUACUGUUGCUCAGAACUUUCUUUGUUCCAAGGUAAAAUAUUAGUAUUCUCUAUUCUUGGUGUGUAGGGAAAGGAAAGCACAUGAUAAUACAGUAACACCUCACCUUAUUUCCUAUGUCGCAGAUAUGCUUUGCUACUUCACUAGAAGAACACAUGCAAGGAUGUAUAUGAGUUAAUUAGGUACCACAGAUAUCAGUAAAAGGUUUAAAGGCUGCCCACUUCACUUCAUCUUGACAUUGAGGUAAACGGUAGGGAUGGAAUUUGGGGGAGGGAGGGGGGGAGAUAAAUCCAUUUUAGUUCUUUUUCAUCAGUGUAUUAGUUGUUUGUUUGUUGAUCUCCUUAGAUGAAACUUCUGCAAACAUAAAUUUUUUUUACAAAGCUUCUGGAAAAACAUUGCUUUAAAAAAAUGUUCCAACAGUCAGAUUUUUCACUAUUCCAGCUACAGUACAAAUUAGCAAAACAGUACUGAUACAGAAAUCUUCAAAUUUUCUCAAUUUUAUCUUAAAAUUUGAACAAGGCUAAUUUUCAGAUGUGCAUCACUAAAAAAAUAAAAAAUGUUCAAAAAAGACUAAAUGAGGCAGGGCAAGGUGAGUCAAGGAUUGCCCCGCUUCACCUCAUAGCCAUCCCUGGUAAACAGAAAGUGGCUGUCUUUUCAUAAAAUAGGUUAAUUUAUUACGUGUUCUCAUCAGUUUCCAACUUAUCCACAAACUAAAUCACCAUCUAUUGACAGAUUUUAUCCCAACUCUAUACAACAACAUACCUACUGUAUAAUCCCACAAUUGAGGUCUGGGGAUUGUGGUGUGUUCACAGCCUUACCCCCUACACUGAGAAGGUAGAGAGGUGGUUUUCGAUACACACUCGGCUCAAGUAAAGGAUAACAAAAAUCAAGUAGGUAAAACAAAUAUAGUGAAGAAUCAACACUGAAAACAAUGGAGAAGAAAACAGUAACAACAGCAAAUCAUAUAAUAACUGAAGUAAAGGAAGCACUACAUUGAAGAAUAAGAUAGUACGAGUGUAAUAAAAACAAUACUGAUAAAGAACUAGACAAGACUUGACUGCCUACAAACAUUCUAUCCUAAUCAUUGACCUCUGAAUCUUCCUAUAGGGUUAUAUCCUCGGUAAGCUACAAAUGUGUUUUGUCUUAUCUAAACACCUAUUACAAUACUUCUAAAGCCAUCCCAAUCUAAAAUAAUUUAUCCUCCUAAAUAGCAUUAAGACAAAAUUAUUUGAACAUUGUUUGAACCAAUCUCUUGGAGACAAUAUUUUUCUAUACUAACUUUGACGCACUACACCUUAUUUUAUAGUGUGUUUUGCUCAUCAGUAUCAAAGUAUACUAAUCAUCAAUAUGUAUAGAUUGUGCAUUAGUCAUUGCUAAUAAGUUGAAGGACAUUAAUAGACUGCAAGCUUAUUUAGCACACCCGAUGCGAGUGCAACACUAGAUCUAAAAAGUAAAUAAUAGUAGCUACAGUUUGAACUAAAGUUAUGUUUUUAAGAUAAAGAUAGGAAACACAAAACAUACACAUAACACAUACAUAUGUGUGUAUACGGGCACAUGCGCGCACGCGCGCGCGCGCACACACACAAACAUAUAUAUAUAUAUGUACAAUAGCCUGAAAAUCAUUGAAUCACUCUUUCAUCUAACAUCAAAGUUAAGAAAUGACACAAAAAUUUGACUUCUAUUUGGGGAGUGAUACAAGAAGUCAGAUACCCACCCAAUAAUUGAUUGAACUUGGUAAUAGUUGAUGGUUAAAUGAGAUACUAAUUACAGAAGCAUCAGGCUAUAAGAGUAAAAAAAUCUUCUCAUCGGACAUGAUAUUCUAUAUGAAUACAAACCUUUCCGGCAAUAUCAGGUGCUGAACCAUGCACAGCCUCAGCAAGGGCAAUACCUCCCUCGCCAAUAUUGCAACUGUAGGAGAAAUCAUCUUUAGGAAAAAAAUGAGACAAAAUGAACUCAAAUGGGACAUCAGAUACGUAUAAUGAAAAAAAUGGCAUACCUUGGAGUUAAGCCCAAACCACCUAUCAAACCAGCACAAAGAUCACUGAUUAUGUCACCAUAAAGGUUAGGCAUCACCAGAACAUCAAAAAGUGCUGGAUUUUUCACAAGCUGUACGCAUGAAAAGGAAGUAUGUUAUUUCACCAAAUAUUUCUAGAUUUUAUUUAUGAAACUUUAGGAUGAGGCUUGGUCCUAUACUAUUAAACUUUUCAUUGAACUUAUUCAAGGUUGUUCAUUAAGAUGAACAUGUUUAGUACUGGAGUCGCAAUGAAGUGAUUGGUCUUUGAUCAUACCAUCAUACAGCAAUUGUCAAUGACAACUUCCUCAUACUUUAUAUCAGGGUACUUUUCCGCGACCUCUCGGCAACACUGGACAAGAAGAAAGAAAGUGAACAACAUAUGUUGGUUGAUAAAAAAUAUAAUUAUACUGAGACGCCAGACAUAAGGAUAGACCUUAAGAAAAAGACCGUCUGUCUUUUGCAUGAUGUUGGCUUUGUGAAUUGCAGACACUCUCUCUCUUCCAUGGGUCUUGGCAUAGUGAAAUGCAUACUCUGCAACCCUUAAACUUGCUUGACGGGUAAUGAUCUUGAGACUUUCAACCACACCUCUUACUACCUGAUAAUAAAUGCAAAUGAAUUUGAAGAACUCAAGAAAUAAGCAAUUUUCUGUUAAAUAAUAAAGAAAGAUACUUACUUGAUGUUCAAGACCACUGUACUCUCCUUCAGUGUUCUCUCUAAUAGUGAUGAGAUUCACAUCAUCAUAGCGAGUCUUAUAUCCAGGAAGGCUGUAGCAAGGUCUGACAUUGGCAUAUAGAUUUAACUCCUUCCUCAAUGUAAGGUUCAAGGAACGAUGACCUUUUCCAAUAGGAGUGGCCAUUGGCCCUUUCAGACCAACCUUAUUCCGCCUCACUGAUUCAAGACUUUCCCAUGUUAGAAAGCUGUUGGUUCUAGGGUCUAUCUCCGUCCCCACAUAGUGUUCUUCCCAU